rnacentral:ncRNA from 1 species
CGAGAAUAGAGCAGCAGGGUGGUGGUUCCUGCACCUGCGUAGCAGGUUCUUCUCAGCCCCGA